AUGGCCGGAGCGCUCGCGUACGAGGAGCAGCGCCGGAGGCAGAUGGAGGAGAACGAUCGCAAGCUGGAGGAGCUGGGUCUGCACCAGCUCUCCGCAGCCGUCAGGGAGGCCGCCGGCCGCAAGCCCUCGCCGGUCAGAUUGGAGGCCAAGUCUGUGAAGCCGAAGCAGGUGCCGCGGGACGCCCCGGUCCGGCAGUCCAGCCGUGUGGCCAGCCUCCCCAAGCAGCCCAAGUACCGCUACGAGACAAGUAAUUCCGAACGGAGGGAGAGGGGGAGCAGCACGAGGAGUGACAUAAUUAAUCGAGUGGACGCCACAGACGAGGCCAGACUCCAUGCCAACUCCGAGGCCCAGGAGCUGCUGCGUAAGCUGGUGCCCGGCGGCAACCCCAGCUUUGUCAAGCCCAUGAAACAGUCUCAUGUCACCGGAGGCUUCUGGCUCGGCCUCCCGUCGCACUUCUGCGGCCUGUAUCUCCCGGGGAGUGAUGAUACCAUCACUCUGGAGGAUGAGGAGGGCGUCGAGUACAAAACGCGCUACCUCGCGCUUAAGACGGGCCUCAGCGCCGGAUGGAGAAGGUUCGCCUUGGACCACAACCUGGUUGAUGGUGACUGCUUGGUCUUCGAGUGGGUCGUGUGGAAUACCUUCUAUGUCUACAUUAUCAGACAAAGUUCCUACUACAAAUGA
rnacentral:rRNA from 1 species